rnacentral:lncRNA from 10 species
AAAGGGUAGGGAACUUCCUUCCUGCCCCCUCCGAGUUUUGCCUCUCUCACUGGCAGCAACCCAGCGCUUCCAUUGCUGACCUCUACCGACCUCUACCUGUGGUCCUUCCUCUACUGCAGCAGAGACACUGUUUUCUUCCUUUGUUCUUCCAACCCCAUGGCACAGAAACACUCUCCACUGCGGCCAAGGAUUGCAGGAGAGGUGGCAUCAGUGAUUCAAGACUUCUUUUCCUACCUCUUCAGUGUUUCUUUCAGUGAUCUGAAGUUAAAGCCAGGGGGAAUAUCACAGAAGUGAAGUGCAAUUCUCAUCAUGUCAUAUCAAGAGCACACACUAACAAACAACAUGACUUAUUGCUGAAUAUUGAACUUGAUCACCUGGCUGAGGUAGUGUUUGCCAGAUUUCUCUGUAAAGGUGAAUAAACUGACACUGGAACAUUCAGGAACUUCUUCAUGGUCAUGGUCACCCAGCUAGAGUGUGGAAGCCAGGCUGUCUGAUUCCAGGAUCUGUGUUCUUAAUCCUAUACAUAAGGAAGCCAUAAUGAGUCAACCACUAUUUUUAAGAUUCACAGAUGUUCGGGUCCAAUUCACCAGAAUGCCAAGUUAUACAGGGUUGUGGAAUCAAAAACUGCAAUUAGUAAUAAAAUGUGAUGCUAUCUAGAAUGUUUUUCAUACAUAUAUAUGCUUCUUGGGACUCUCCCUGCAGGUUAAGAGAAAUUGAGAAACGAUGGAGAAUUUAAGUGUUUUAGAUCCUACAUACAUUAGACUUAAAAAUAGUAACUAUGUACAUGAGUAUUUGUAAACUUAAGAAUGAACAUAACAUGAACCAUGUGGCACCUAUAAAAUGAAAAUAAAAUACCUACAAACCAAAUGAGAGCAAUAAAAGAAGCUUUAAGGACUUUCACUUCAGGGAGUCUGAAUUAGAUGCGCUUCUUCCCAUUCCUCCCUCUAAUUACAACAAGCUUGGACGUUACAUACAGAACAAACAGAAGGAGUCUCUGAAAGAUGAAGAGAAGGCAAGUAAGCUACAGACUUCACAAUGUAAGGAAUAAUAUGGUGGUGAGUUACAUUUGUGAUUUUUUUUUGUCUCAUAUCCCAUAAUAUCUCAUAUCUCAUAAUCAGUUAGAAAGCACAAUGGAAAAGUAUUCCACUGCCAAUGGUGUUAGAGAACUGCUCACAAAUUCAACAGAAAUGCACAGAUACCAAAGCAGAAAGGACAAUAAACAAGAGUCUUCAUGGUCAAAAGAUUAGAAGCUGCAGCUUUCAAUGGGAGGGACAGGUUCUGGACCACACUGCAGUGCUUUUCUGCUUUCUGUGCUUUCCCACUCUAGAGCUGAAGAAGGUAACGACCCCAAAAUGUCAAUAUACGUAGACCAAAAACCAGCCCCAAUAAAAGUCUGCUCUCUCUAGCCAAAGGACUACAGUAGGGCAGCCCAGCAAGACAGAAAACCUUCAGACAACCUACCCCAGCCAAACACUACCAAAAAAAGUAAAGUGAGCCAUCACCCAAUCCACAUCAGUAAAAACUAAGUGGAAAGUCCAGACUUUCACCUCAAGAGGUUGCGACAAGCUACUCCAAUACCCCUGCUGGGAUAGUGUCACAGAAGGCUAAAUAAGGAGCUGUAAUGUUGAUUCCCCUCCAGAAGUAAAGAGUCCGUACCUGCUAUUUUCAGAGAGACCACAUGGAAAGCCUAGAUUUCAACACCUACCCAGCAUUAAUGAGGUAUUCCUUCCCUUCUUUACUCUCUGGUGUCAAAGAAGCUCCAUGCAGAGUCAGAAUGUUUGGCAUUACUCCUCAGUAGGGAGGCCACCCCCACCACGGUGUUAGUGGAGACCAUGUGAGGACCAGGACUUGUACCCUGCCCAGAAGUAAUGAGUAGACCCCCCUCUACAGGAAGGCCAAAGGGCAACCUAAACUUCUACCUCUCUCUGGCAGUAAUAAAGUAGGGCCUCACUUUUCCCUGCUGAGCAAUGUCAAAAAAAAAAGCCAGCUGAAGUAAAAGCUUAUUUCUUUCUUUCUUUAUACAUAUUUUUGGAGACAGGGUCUUAUUCUGUCACCCACGCUGGAGUACAGUGGCCUCAUCAGGUCUCACUGCAGCCUCAACCUCCUGGGCUCAAGCAAUCCUCCCACCUCAGCCUCUUGAGUAGCUGAGACCACAGAUGUGCACCACCACACAUAGCUAACAUUAACAUUUUUUCUAGAGAUGGGGUCUUCCUGUGUUGCCCAGGCUGGUCUGGAACUCCUGGGCUCAAGUGAUCCUCCCACCUUGACCUCCUGGAGGGCUGGGAUUACAGGUAUGAGUCAUCACUCCAGGCUGAAGCUUUAUAUAAUAACCAGAGUCUCAUAUUACAAAAUGUCAAAGAUUCAGUCAAAAGUUACUUGAUAUCAAUGGACAAGAUCUCAAACUAAAUGAAAAAAAGACAAUUAAUAGAUGCUAACACUGAGAUAACAAAGUUGUUAGAAUCAUCUAACAAAGAUUUUAAAGCAGCUAUAAUAAAAGUGCUACUGCAAGUGAUUAUAAACAUGCUUGAGACAAAUGAAAAAGUGCUAUAAAGCUAAGAAAUAAAAUAUAUAAAUAAGAAUCAAAGAGAAAUUAUAGAACUAAAAGAUACCAUAACUGAAAUGCAAAGCUCCGUGGAUGGACUCAACAACAGAAUGGAAAAGACUGAGGAAAGAAGUAGUUUACAGGAAAUUAGAAUAGACUAGAAAAAAUGAACAAGACCCUGUGCUAAAGAGCAAAUAUUUAUGUCAUUGGAUUCCAGGAAAGAGAAAAGAAUGAAAAAGUACUUAAAUAAUGGCUUAAAAACUUCUCACAUUUUGCAAAGAUUUAAACCUACAAUUUGAGAAGCUGGGUAAACCUUAAACAGGAUAAAUCAAGGACACUCACACCAAGAAACAUAGUAAUUAAACUUCUGAUUAAGGAAGAAAAAGAAAAAUCUGGAAAGCAGCAAGAAAAAAAUGACACACUUUCUAUAUGGUAAAAGCAAUUUGAACAACAGAAGAUUUCUCAUCAGAAACUGUGGGGACCAUGAGGAAGUAACAGAUAUUUUUCAAGUGCUGAAAUAAAUCAACUGUCAAUACAAAAUGCUCUACUCAGUGAAAAUAUCUUUCAGGAAUAAAGGGGAAAUCAGGACACGCACAGACUUUUUUUAAAUUAAGAAUUUAUUGUCAGCUUAUCUCCCUAAAAGAAUGGCUAACAUUCUCCAAACACGAAGGAAAUUGAUAAGGAAUCUUGAAAUUUCAGUUAGAAACAAUGAAUAUGGCAAGCAAAAUGUAGGUCAGUACACUAAGUUUAAUUUCUCCUCUUGAAUUUUCUAAAUUAUGACUUAUGAUUGAAGCAAAAAUCAUAACAUUAUCUGAUGUAUAUGUAGAGGAAAGAUUUAAGACAGUGAUGUUAUAAAUGAGGGGAGUAAAGGAACAUGAGAUAACCACUAAUAUGACAUACCAAUAGACUAUGAUAAAUUAUGUGUCUAAUGUGAUUACUAGAAAAACCAGUUAAAAUAUAAAGAUUGACGGAGUGAAUUUAAAAACAUGACACACUAUAUGCUGUUUAUCAUAAACUCACUUUGAAGAUAAUGCCAUCGUCAGGUUGAAAUCAAAAGGAAUAAAAUAGUGUAUUAUGUAAACCAUCAAAAAGAGCAGGAAUGGCCAUAUUAAUAACAUUAAAGUCAGCUUCAGAACUAAGGAAAUUAUCAGAGAGGGACAUUAUAUAAUGAAAUAGUCGAUUUACCAAAAGAACAUAGCAAUCAUAAAUGUGCAUGAAGCAAACAACAAAGCUGGAAAAUAUAUGAAGUGAAACUGAUAGAUCUAAAAGGAGAAACAGAUAAAUCCAUUCAUUAUAGUUGGGGCCUUUAUCACCCCUCACUCAACAAUUGAUAGAACUGGACAGAAAACCAGUAAGAAUAUAAAAGAACUCAACAACCUAAAAAAAGAAGGAAAAAUAGACCCAAUGCCAGCAGAAAGAUGCAAUAACAAAGAGUAGAACUCAAUGAAAUUGAAAACAGAUAAACACUUUAAAGAAUAAAACAAAGAGCUGGUUAUUAGAAAAGAUCAAUUAAUUGAUAAACCUCAAGCAAGACCGUCAAAAAAAAAAAAAAAAGGACUUACCUAUACCAGAGAUGAAAUGGGAUAUCGCUAUCAAUACUGCAAACAUCAAAAGGAUAAGUAGAUACUAUGAACUGUACACACAUUAAUCUGACAAUUUAGACAAAAUAGAUCAUUUCCCUAGAAAACACAAACUACUACAGCUUACCCAAUAUAAAAUAGAUUAUUUGAAUAGCCUUAUAAGUACUAAAAAAAAAUUAAUUAAACUCAUUAUUUAAAAAUUCCUAAAAAGAAAGCCUCCAGAGCCAAAUUGUUUCCUUCAGAAUUCCACCACAUUCAUAAAGAUUUGACAGCAAUUCUAUACAGUCUCUUUGAGAAAAUAGAAGGGGGUAUUUUCUAAUUCAUUUUAAGGAGCUAGUAAAUACCCUGAUACUGAAAUGUAUACUGCAAAUUGAUAAAAUUAUAGACCCCUGCAUAUUAAAUUUCAAAAUAAAAAUGAUAAAAAUACUUGGGUAAUGAAUAACAGCAUAACAAAAAACCACAGACCAAUAUCUCAUGAACAUAGACACAAAAAAUGCUUCACAAUAUGACAUAGAAUUCAGUAAUACAUGAGAAUUAUAUACCACAACCCAGUAAGACUUAAUCCAAGAAUGGAAGACUGGCUCAAUAUUUAAAAAUCAAUCGAUGUAGUGCAAAUAUUAAUAGCUAAUGAAGAAAUGUCAUAAAAUUAAUGCAGAAAAAGGAUUUGACAAAAUUCAACACUCAUUUAUGUAAAAAUGCUCUGAAAAAUAGGAAUUAAAGGACACCUACAAGAAACUUUCAGCUAACAUAAUUCUUAAUGCUGAAUGAUUGAAUGUUUUCUUCCUGAGCUUGAGAAUAAGGUGAGGGUAUCAUCCCUAAUGACGCUUAUUCAACAUAGUGCUCAAAGUUCUAUGAAGUGCAAUUAGGCAAUAAAGGGAAAUAAAAGACAGGUAAAAGAAGAAAUUAAAUUUUAUUUGAAAAAGCUGAUUGUCUACCUAGAAAAUCUCAAGGAAAACACUAUUAAUAUACAGAACAACCUGAAUGAAUCUUUGGAGAAUUACGCUGCAUCAGAAAAAGCCAAUCACAAAAGAUUACAUACUAUGUAAUUCCAUUUGUAUAACAUUUUGAACUGACAAAAGUAUAGAAAUGAACAGAUUAGUGGUUGUUAGGGGUGAGGGGUUAUGGGUCAGAGAUAGGAGUUGGGGAUAUAAAAAGGCAACCUGAGGGAUCCUUAUGGUGAUUGAAACAUUCUGUAUGUUGGUUCUAUCAAUGUCAAUACUCUGGUUGGACUAUGGUUCCACAGUUUUGCAAGAUGUUAUUGAGGAAAACGGCAUAAAUGGUGCCCAGGAUCUCUCUAUUGUUUCUUACUGAUUAUGUAUCUGCAAUGAUUGCAAAAUAAAAAGGUUUAAUUUUUAAAAAGGAUUAAACAUUACAUAGCAUACACUUGAGUAAAAGACAAAAUCUGGCUAAGGAUUAUUUUUGUCCUAAGUAAUAUGUGGAUUUUGUACAACAUAAAUCACAAUCCCCUAAAAUCUAUAUUGUAAAUUGAUAAAAUGUAAAACCUGUGUAUUACAGAAUAAAAGAUGAACAAAAAUUACAAAACACUAAGAAAUACCCUAGUGCCCCAAUGUAUCAGUAGACAAACACAUGGACAGAUAGUUUGCAAAAGGGGAAGUACAUAUGGUGAAUAAACAUUAUGAGAUGUCUAAUAUUGUUAGCUAUCAAUGAAACAUGAAAUAAAAUGAUGACAUUGCACACAUCUCAAGUCUCUGGCAGAGCACAGACCAAACUGAAAUUUCCCACUUCACCUGGAAUUUAACUUGCUUAAUCAUUUUUCCUCAAUCUAAGUAAAUUCGUAACUAUUCUUUCUAAAUACAUUCACUAGAAUAAUCG